rnacentral:tRNA from 3 species
GCGGUCGUGGCGGAACUGGCAGACGCACCAGCUUGAGGGGCUGGCGGUAGCAAUACCGUGGUGGUUCGAAUCCACUCGACCGCACCA